rnacentral:rRNA from 1 species
GGGGGAUAUUGCACAAUGGACGGAAGUCUGAUGCAGCGACGCCGCGUGGGGGAUGAAGGCUUUCGGGUUGUAAACCUCUUUUAUUCCUGAACAAGGCUUGGAUUGUUGUCUGGGUUGAGGGUAGGGGGUGAAUAAGCGCCGGCUAACUACGUGCCAGCAGCCGCGGUAAUACGUAGGGCGCGAGCGUUGUCCGGAUUUAUUGGGCGUAAAGAGCUCGUAGGCGGUUUGUUGCGUCUGCUGUGAAAACGCGGGGCUUAACUUCGCGCGUGCAGUGGGUACGGGCAGGCUAGAGUGCGGUAGGGGAGAUUGGAAUUCCUGGUGUAGCGGUGGAAUGCGCAGAUAUCAGGAGGAACACCGAUGGCGAAGGCAGGUCUCUGGGCCGUUACUGACGCUGAGGAGCGAAAGCGUGGGGAGCGAAC